rnacentral:rRNA from 1 species
GUCUUUUUGAAUUAAAUUUAAAGUCUGACCUGCCCACUGAGUAUUUUAAAUGGCCGCAGUAUUUUGACUGUGCAAAGGUAGCAUAAUCCUUAGUCUUUUAAUUGGAGGCUGGUAUGAACGGUUGGACGAAGUAUAAGCUGUUUCAUAUAAAUUUAUAAUAGAAUUUUAUAUUUUAGUUAAAAAGCUAAAAUUUUAUUAAAAGACGAGAAGACCCUAUAAAUCUUUAUAUUUAAUAUUAACUAAAUUUUUUUUUUAUUUUAUUUUUUUAAUAUUAAUUAUUUUGUUGGGGUGAUAUUAAAAUUUAAUGAACUUUAAUUUUUUAAAAUCAUUAAUUUAUGAAUUAUUGAUCCAUUAAUAUUGAUUAUAAGAUUAAGUUACUUUAGGGAUAACAGCGUAAUUUUUUUUGAGAGUUCAUAUCGACAAAAAAGUUUGCGACCUCGAUGUUGGAUUAAGGUAUAAUUUGGGUGUAGCUGUUCAAAAAUUAAGUCUGUUCGACUUU